GAUGAACGCUAGCGGGAGGCUUAAUACAUGCAAGUCGAGCGGCAAGUUUUGAUAGCAAUAUUGGAACCUAGAGCGGCGCACGGGUGAGUAACGCGUACAUGACCUGCCCUAUACUGGGGGAUAGUCUUGGGAAACUGAGAAUAAUCCCGCAUGUGAUUAGAAUGCUGCAUGGCAAAUUAAUUGAAGCUGAGGCGGUAUAGGAUGGGUGUGCGUCUGAUUAGCUAGUUGGUAGUGUAACGGACUACCAAGGCGAUGAUCAGUAGGGGGCGUGAGAGCGUGACCCCCCACACGGGUACUGAGACACGGACCCGACUCCUACGGGAGGCAGCAGUAAGGAAUAUUGGACAAUGGGCGGAAGCCUGAUCCAGCCAUGCCGCGUGAAGGACGAAGGCGCUCAGCGUUGUAAACUUCUUUUGGAUGGGAACAAUAACUCCGACUUGUCGGAACUUGAGGGUACCAUCAGAAUAAGCACCGGCUAACUCCGUG
rnacentral:rRNA from 1 species